rnacentral:ncRNA from 1 species
GGUCUUACGGUGGAUACCUAGGCACCCAAAGAUGAGGAAGGGCGUGGUAAGCGAUGAAAUGCUUCAAGGAGUUGAAAAUGAGCAUAGAUUUGGAGAUUCUCGAAUAGGUUAACCUUUUUAACUACUGCUUAAUCCAUGGGUAGGCAAGAGACAACCUGGUGAACUAAAACAUCCUAGUAUCUAGAGGAAUAGACAACAAAAUUAAUUCCCGUAGUAGCAGUGAGAAAAAUGGGAGCAGCCUAAACUGUGAAAAUGGGGUUGUGGGAGAGCACAAUAUAAGCUCUGUGUUGCUAGGCGAAAUGGUUGAGUCUUGCACCCUAGAUGGUGAGAGUACAAUAGCCAAAAGCAUCAUUGGGUUACACUCUAACCCAAGUAGCAUGGGGCAUUUGGAAUCCCAUGUGAAUCAGAAAGGACCACCUUGCAAGGCUAAAUACUCCUGGGUGAUCGAUAGCAAAGUAGUACCGUGAGGGAAAGGUGAAAAGAACCCCCAUCAGGGAGUGAAAUAGAACAUGAAACUGUAAGAUCCCAAGAAGUGGUAGGAAAGUGAUAUCUCUGACCGCAUGCCUCUUGAAGAAUGAGUCGGCGAAUUAUAGGCAGUGGCUUGGUUAAGGGAACCCACCAAAUCUGUAGUAAGAACGAGUCUUCAUGGGGAAAUUGUCACUGCUUAUGGACCCAAACCUGGGUGAUCUAUCCAUGACCAGGAUGAAGCUUGGGUGCAACUAAGUGGAGGUCUGAACACUGAUGUUGAAAAAUCAUCGGAUGAGUCAUGGUUAGGGGUGAAAUGCCCCUCGAACCCAGAGCUAGCUAGUUCUCCCCAAAAUGCGUUGAGGCACAACAGUUGACUGGACCAUCUAGGGGUAAAGCACUAUUUUGGUACGGGUCAUGAGAGUGGUACGAAAUUGAGGCAAACUCUGAAUAAUAGAUUUCCCCAAUAAAAGGGGUAAAGGUCAACCAAUGAGAUGAUGGGGGAUAAGCUUCAUCAUCGAGAGGGAAACAACCCAGAUCAUCAACUAAGGCCCCUAAAUGACCACUUAGUGAUGAAGGAAGUACAAGUGAAAAGAUAGCAAGGAGGUUUUCCUAGAAGCAUCCAACCUUGAAAGAGUGUGUAAUAUCUCACUAAUCAAGUGCUCUUGCACUGAAUAUGAAUGGGACUAAGUGAUCUACCGAAGCUAUGGAAUGUAAAAAUACAUCAAUAGGAGAGUGUUCCUCCUCAGAGGGAAGCACCAACGCGAGAAGGUGUGGAAGAAGCGGAAGCGAGAAUGUCGGCUUGAGUAACGCAAACAUUGGUGAGAAUCCAAUGCCCCAAAAACCUAAGGGUUCCUCUGCAAUUUGUGUCCACGGAGGGUGAGUCAGGGCCUAAGAUCAUGCCGAAAGGUGUAGUUGAUGGACAACAGGUUAAUAUUCCUAUACUACCCCUUGUUGUUCCUGAGGGACAGAGGAGGCUAGGUUAGCCGAAAGAUGGUUAUUGGCUCAAGGACGCAAGGCGACCCUCUAUACAUUGAUUCAAAGGUAAAAGAAGAAUCAAAUAUAGGUGUGUACAAGGUGAGUUUGGGGGUGGAUAUUCCUCAUCAUCUAAUCUAGCACACAAAAAUCCAAGAUGGCUUAUCCAAACAUUAUAGGAUGCACAAAAUCAUGUAGGAGCACCCAUUUCAUCAAUGAGGGUGAGUAUACCUCCUAGGAGAUAUGUUAACCAUAUUGUAUUAGAUUCUUCCAUUUGUGAUCUUUACAAUUGUUUUGAGGAGGCGAUGUGUGAUACUUUAUUGGAUGAGUGUGAUGUUUUGGGGGUAGUUCCUUUAUGGGAGCUCGUGGUUGAUUUCGAGAUUGCAACUUGUUCAAUUU